rnacentral:rRNA from 1 species
GACGAACGCUGGCGGCGUGCUUAACACAUGCAAGUCGAACGGAAAGGCCCUGCUUUUGUGGGGUGCUCGAGUGGCGAACGGGUGAGUAACACGUGAGUAACCUGCCCUUGACUUUGGGAUAACUUCAGGAAACUGGGGCUAAUACCGGAUAGGAGCUCCUGCUGCAUGGUGGGGGUUGGAAAGUUUCGGCGGUUGGGGAUGGACUCGCGGCUUAUCAGCUUGUUGGUGGGGUAGUGGCUUACCAAGGCUUUGACGGGUAGCCGGCCUGAGAGGGUGACCGGCCACAUUGGGAAUGAGAUACGGCCCAGACUCCUACGGGAGGCAGCAGUGGGGAAUAUUGCACAAUGGGCGGAAGACUGAUGCAGCAACGCCGCGUGCGGGAUGACGGCCUUCGGGUUGUAAACCGCUUUCGCCAGUGACGAAGCGUGAGUGACGGUAAUGGGUAAAGAAGCACAGACUAAAUACGUG